rnacentral:tRNA from 1 species
GGGCGGUUAGCUCAGCGGUAGAGCAUCGGCCUUACAAGCCGGGGGUCGCUGGUUCGAAACCAGCACCGCCCACCA